UACAGAGGGUGCGAGCGUUAAUCGGAAUUACUGGGCGUAAAGCGUGCGUAGGUGGUUUGUUAAGUCAGGUGUGAAAUCCCUCGGCUUAACCGGGGAACUGCGUCUGAUACUGGAUGGCUUGAGUUUGGGAGAGGGAUGCGGAAUUCCAGGUGUAGCGGUGAAAUGCGUAGAUAUCUGGAGGAACACCGGUGGCGAAGGCGGCGUUCUGGACUGUUUCUGACACUGAAAAACGAAAGCCAGGGGAGCAAACGGG
rnacentral:rRNA from 1 species